GACGAACGCUGGCGGCGUGCUUAACACAUGCAAGUCGAACGGAAAGGCCCUGCUUUUGUGGGGUGCUCGAGUGGCGAACGGGUGAGUAACACGUGAGUAACCUGCCCUUGACUUUGGGAUAACUUCAGGAAACUGGGGCUAAUACCGGAUAGGAGCUCCUGCUGCAUGGUGGGGGUUGGAAAGUUUCGGCGGUUGGGGAUGGACUCGCGGCUUAUCAGCUUGUUGGGGGGGUAGUGGCUUACCAAGGCUUUGACGGGUAGCCGGCCUGAGAGGGUGACCGGCCACAUUGGGACUGAGAUACGGACCAGACUCGUACGGGAGGCAGCAGUGGGGAAUAUUGCACAAUGGGCGGAAGCCUGAUGCAGCAACGCCGCGUGCGGGAUGACGGCCUUCGGGUUGUAAACCGCUUUCGCCUGUGACGAAGCGUGAGUGACGGUAAUGGGUAAAGAAGCACCGGCUAACUACGUG
rnacentral:rRNA from 1 species